UACAGAGGGGGCAAGCGUUGUUCGGAAUUACUGGGCGUAAAGGGCGCGUAGGCGGCCCUCUAAGUCGAACGUGAAAUCCCUGGGCUCAACCCAGGAACUGCGUCCGAGACUGGGGGGCUAGAAUCCGGGAGAGGGAUGUGGAAUUCCAGGUGUAGCGGUGAAAUGCGUAGAUAUCUGGAGGAACAUCGGUGGCGAAGGCGGCAUCCUGGACCGGUAUUGACGCUGAGGCGCGAAAGCUAGGGUAGCAAACGGG
rnacentral:rRNA from 1 species